UGGCGCUUGCGCACUGGCGGCAUCAUGGGGCGGGGGCAGGAGGAGCGACGCGAGCGAAGCGUGAGGGACACCUGCGCGGAUAGUUAGGUUGUUACCUGGGACUUCAGGCACAGAGAAGCACCUCAAACUCAACCUUGGCAGCUUCAUGAAAAUAACCAUUGAACUGGAAGAAAACGUUCUAAGUCAUUGUCAGAGAUAAGAUAUUAAGAAACCAGACUGCUGUCAAGGGUAUUCUUUUAAAGGAAUUAUCUGGGAAAAUCAUAGGAUAGGAACAAUUGAAUCAAAAUUUGGAAUCUUCAACAGCCACAGUCCUACCUAACGAUAAUUGAUGUGCACCACAAACAAUACCCUAGAAGUCUGCGGACUCCUAAAUGACCUUCUAAAUCACCAAAGAAAGAUCCAAUGGAGGGGUUGGUACAUUGGCGCUGUUGAAGACCCGUUUACUUCCAGACUUGGCACUGUAAAGAUGAACCAGUUCAGGCUCCGAGCCCAGGAUGGGAACAUGUAACAUAUCAGCCACAGCCAGAUCAUCUCUGUGGAGGAGUCCGCCCAUAAUGUAGGCCUCUGUGCCUUGGAUGAGAUUUUUUAUUCUUUUGAUUGCCUUGGGACUGUACAGCAGGUACAGGUGUUGACCAUCCAGGUGAAAAGAUGUCAACAGUGCUGGCAGCACAUUUAAAAACAAUAAAGUCUUAACCAGGAUACUACCAACCAUUAUGUGGCUUUGAGGAGUUCAGAAGAAAUGUCCAGUGGCAAAGACAUCCCAUUUUGGGAUAUAAUCUAUAAAGACUUGGUUACUUCAGAGGUCAGACCAAGAACACUGAGGGAAUCCUGAGAGAAGCUCAACCUCACCCUGUCCUGUUCUACAUGCAGAAAUCAGGAACCAAAGAUUUUCAUCAGUUGUUACUGGCAAUCAUUUCUCCGUCUUCACUUCUAUCUUCACCAUCCUUCCCAAUCCCUACUGCCACGCAACACCUAUCAGGGUCUUCUUCAGUCGAGUCUUGUGGCAGUGUAAAAGCCAAGCGAUGGCAAUUACACCCAAUGCCCACUUCUGCUGGCGGUAAGUGAGGAAGAAUUUUCUCGCUCUGAAGCAUUUCCACGUGGCUUGGAUCUUGCUGGCAGCCUCUGACUUUCCACCUUGGCCCCUGUACCUCUGUCCUGGAAGGUUUAACAACAUCUGGACGUGAAGUGGGUUCUCUAAUACCGAGAGAAGAUCGUUUCGGAUUCUAGGCAGUGGAAUGAUUAGACUGACAUCUCAAGUGAAAAUGGCAAAGAGCAAAUAUUAAGUCCAAAACGGAAAUUUUCUUUUGACUUGAGAAGCCAACUUUAAACAGCAGUUAGCUUUCAUGUACUUUUAAUUUGAAAGCUGUUAUAAGGCAGAAGAAUGAUGGAAAAAUUCUUCUCACCAGGACUCUAACCCUUUCCAGUCUAACCAGGACACCAAGAGAGAAUGCAGACUGCUUGAUUGCAGAGCUCUGAUUCUCAUCAAACUGAGACCUGCCCUCUCUCUAACCCGAGUUCCCAGCACUCGGAGUCCACCAGCAAGGCAUCCUGUGCUCAUUAAGAGCUAUAAGAUUCUGUGCACUAUUAUCUCUCUAAUAGGACUAGAAGGAUCAACAAGGCAGGAGAUCAGAAAGAAGGAAGAGCAUGAGGUUUGGGUAUCUAUUCAGGCUCCCUCCCCAUGCGAUCUCCCAGGCGGAUGCCCCACUACAUGCUGUCCACCAUGAAGAUCAGUCACCAUCAGGGCCAGUACUCUCUCCGCAGCACUUCCAUACCGCCAUAACAGAUAGCAAAAUAAGGCUUCCUUCAAACAAGGAAGAGCACCCCACCAGAUACCAGAUCUGCCAGCACCUUGAUUAUAGACUCAUAGCCUCCAGCACUGUGAGAAACUGUGAUGCCCCAUCUGUGGUAUUCUGUAAAAGCAGCCUCAACUAAGACUGACUAAGAAGGGGGAACAAGAGUCAAGAUGAGAGAACACAGAAUGGAGGCAAAAUCAGAAACUUCUUGAGCUCUAUUUCUUGCCAUUUGGGAACCCGUGAGACUCUGUUUAAAAAUUUCAAGGCAUUAUGUUUUGAUUAAUUUUGCUGUUGGAACAAAACUGUUAUGAACAUAUCUAAAUCAAUAGUAACAUGAAAUUGUAGAAACUUAUUUAUAUAUGUGUAUCGUGUUUUCUACUGUAGAACACAAUAGAAAUAUCCUGUCUUUACUCUUUACACAUUUUUAUGGUUUAGAUCUAAAAUAUCCCCCCAAAAUCUCACAUAUUUGGAAGGUGACCUGAUCAUGGGGUCAUUAUAUUCAUCAGUGGAUUAGUCCAUUGAUGUGGUCAGAGCUAAAUGUACUGUUUGGAGGUGGUUCCUAGCUGAAAGAGGUGGUUCACUGAGGGCAUAACCUGAAAGGAUAUAUUCAUGUCCCUGGCUCUCCUUUCUCUCUACUUUCUGGCUGCCAUUAUGUUAGCAUCCAGCUGACCCUUCCACCAUGCUGUUUAUGCCUUGGAGCUGGCUGACCAUGGACUGAACCCACUGAAACUGUGCGACAAACAAACCUCUCCUCCUCUAAGUUGCAGGUGACGGAUAUUUUGUCCCAGAGACAGGAAAGCUAACUAGUACAGUUUUAUAUAAAUAUGAUCUAUUUGCAAUAAAUUUUACCUUUUAAAAAUACAAGUCAGUAGUGUUUAACAUAUUCACAAAGUUGUACAACCACCACCACUAUAUAAUUCUAGAACAUUUUUAUCAUCCCAAAAAGAAACUUCCUACCCAGUAGAAGGUAUUCCUGGUUUCCCUUCCUCCAAGGCCCCAGGAAUCACUACUUUGUCAACACAGAUUUCUCAGUCCCUACCUUUACUCUUGGAAUUA